ACGGCUCAGUAACACGUGGNCAAUUUAACCUAAGGUGGGGGAUAACCCCGGGAAACUGGGGAUAAUACCCCAUAGACUAUAGAUGCUGGAAUGCUUUGUAGUUGAAAGGUCAGCCGCCAUAGGAUGGGUCUGCGGCCGAUUAGGUAGUUGUUGGGGUAACGGCCCAACAAGCCUGUAAUCGGUACGGGUUGUGGGAGCAAGAGCCCGGAGAUGGAUUCUGAGACACGAAUCCAGGCCCUACGGGGCGCAGCAGGCGCGAAAACUUUACAAUGCGGGAAACCGUGAUAAGGGAACUCCGAGUGCCCGUUAAAUCGGGCUGUCCAUCAGUUUAAAAAACUGGUGAAGAAAGGGCCGGGCAAGACCGGUGCCAGCCGCCGCGGUAAUACCGGCGGCUCGAGUGGUGGCCACUAUUACUGGGCUUAAAGCGUUCGUAGCUGGUUUGUUAAGUCUCUGGGGAAAUCUUCCGGCUUAACCGGAAGGCGUCUCAGGGAUACUGGCAGACUAGGGACCGGAAGAGGUGAGGGGUACUCCAGGGGUAGGAGUGAAAUCCUGUAAUCCUUGGGGGACCACCUGUGGCGAAGGCGCCUCACCAGGACGGCUCCGACAGUGAGGGACGAAAGCUGGGGGAGCAAACCGGAUUAGAUACCCGGGUAGUCCCAGCCGUAAACGAUGUGCGUUAGGUGUAUCGGUGACCACGAGUCACCGAGGUGCCGAAGAGAAAUCGUGAAACGUACCGCCUGGGAAGUACGGUCGAAGGCUGAAACUUAAAGGAAUUGGCGGGGGAGCAC
rnacentral:rRNA from 1 species